AGAGUUUGAUUCUGGCUCAGGACGAACGCUGGCGGCGUGCCUAACACAUGCAAGUCGAACGAGAAUUUACUUAUUGAUUUCUUCGGAUUGAUUUAGGUAAAGGAAAGUGGCGGACGGGCGAGUAACGCGUGAAUAACCUGCCCAUAAGAGGGGGAUAACACAUGGAAACGUGUGCUAAUACCGCAUAUUGAGUAAUUUUCGCAUGGGAGUUACUUGAAAGAUUUUAUCGCUUAUGGAUGGAUUCGCGUCAGAUUAGCUAGUUGGUGAGGUAACGGCUCACCAAGGCGACGAUCUGUAGCCGAACUGAGAGGUUGAUCGGCCGCAUUGGGACUGAGACACGGCCCAG
rnacentral:rRNA from 1 species